UCGAACGAAGCACAGAUGUAGAAUUUCUUCGGAAAGGAAGCGCCUGUGACUGAGUGGCGGACGGGUGAGUAACGCGUGGGCAACCUGCCCCAUACCGGGGGACAACAGCUGGAAACGGCUGCUAAUACCGCAUACGUUUUCGGUGCCGCAUGGCGCCGAAAAGAAAACUCCGGUGGUAUGGGAUGGGCCCGCGUCUGAUUAGCUAGUUGGGAGGGUAACGGCCUACCAAGGCGACGAUCAGUAGCCGGCCUGAGAGGGCGACCGGCCACAUUGGGACUGAGACACGGCCCAGACUCCUGCGGGAGGCAGCAGUGGGGAAUAUUGCACAAUGGGGGAAACCCUGAUGCAGCGACGCCGCGUGAGCGAAGAAGUACCUCGGUAUGUAAAGCUCUAUCAGCAGGGAAGAAAGUGACAGUACCUGACUAAGAAGCCCCGGCUAACUACGUGCCAGCAGCCGCGGUAAUACGUAGGGGGCAAGCGUUAUCCGGAUUCACUGGGCGUAAAGGGAGCGCAGGCGGCGCGGCAAGUCUGAUGUGAAAGCCCGGGGCUCAACCCCGGGUCUGCGUUGGAAACUGUCGAGCUAGAGUGUCGGAGGGGUAAGCGGAAUUCCUAGUGUAGCGGUGAAAUGCGU
rnacentral:rRNA from 1 species